AAAUAUUUAUAUAGUAAAUAAUAUUUGCAUUUUAAGCUCUUUAUGUUAAAAGUAAAUAAAUUAAAAAUAGAAGAUAUAUUUAUUUGUUUUGUAGUCCAAAAAUAGGUUUGAAAUUAUCUCAGGCGAAGCCUGUGCCAGCCGCCGCGGUUACACAGGCUGGGUAAAAAUAUUUGUGUUAUGAUAAUAAAAUUUUAUUAUAUUGUUUUUUUUUACUUAGGUGAAAUUUUUAUAUGAAUUUGUGAUUUUGUUUUGAAGAAAUUUUUGAUUUAAAUUAGGAUUAGAUACCCUAUUAUUCAGUAAUUUAAAAUUGGUAGUAUUUUUAGGUUCUUUAAAUCUAAAGAUUAUGGCGGUAUUUUAAGCUAUUUAGAGGAAUUUGUUCUUUAAUGGAUAAAACUCAAAGAUCUUACUUGGGUUGGUUAAGCAGUUUGUAUAUCGCUAUCAUAGAAUAAUGUUGAUUGAUUAAUAAUUAAGAUUAUCUUUAGUAAAAAUGUUAGGUCAAAAUGCAGCAAAAAUUUAAGGUUGAAAUAAAUUACUUUUAUUUGUAUAUGGUUUUUUGAAAUUAAGUUUAGGAUUUAAGAGUAAAUUGAAAUUAUAAUGUUUGGUUGAAUUUAGCUCUAAAAUAUGCACAUAUCGCCCGUCACUCUCAGUGAUGAGAUAAGUCGUAACAAAGUAAAAGUACCGGAAGGUGUUUU
rnacentral:rRNA from 1 species